AUUGAACGCUGGCGGCAGGCCUAAUACAUGCAAGUCGAACGAGUGGCGGACGGGUGUGUAACGUCGGGGAAACUGCCAGAAGGAGGGGGUUAACUACUGGAAACGGUAGUUAUUACCGCAUAGCAUUGGCUGUGCCCAGAUGGGAUUAGCUAGUAGGUGGGGUAAAGGUUCACCUAGGCGACGAUCCCUAGCUGUUCUGAGAGGAUGACCGGCCACACUGGAACUGGGACACGGGCCAGACUCCUACGUGAGGCAGCAGUUGGGAAUAUUGCGCAAUGGGCGAAAGCCUGAUACAGCCAUGCCGCGUGUAUGAGGAAGGCCUUCGGUUUGUAAAGUCCUUUCAGCAGGGAGGCGUUACCCGAAGAAGAAGCACCGGCUAACUCCGUGCCAGCAGCCGCGGUAAUAC
rnacentral:rRNA from 1 species